rnacentral:rRNA from 1 species
UACAGAGGUCCCAAGCGUUGUUCGGAUUCACUGGGCGUAAAGGGUGCGUAGGUGGUGAGGUAAGUCGGCUGUGAAAUCUCCGAGCUCAACUCGGAAACUGCAUUGGAAACUACCUUGCUCGAGGGUUGGAGGGGGGACUGGAAUGCUUGGUGUAGCAGUGAAAUGCGUAGAUAUCAAGCGGAACACCAGUGGCGAAGGCGAGUCCCUGGACAACUCCUGACACUGAUGCACGAAAGCUAGGGGAGCAAACAGG